rnacentral:rRNA from 1 species
AGAGUUUGAUCCUGGCUCAGGAUGAACGCUGGCGGUGUGGAUAAGGCAUGCAAGUCAAACGGCUCGCAAGAGCAGUGGCGAACGAGGUAGUAGCACGUGGGUAUUUCCCUUCAAGUCAGGAAUAACUAGUCGAAAGAUUGGCUAAUACUUGAUAGUCUCUUCGGAGUAAAGAUUUAUCGCUUGAAGAAAAGCCUGCGGAGUAUCAGCUAGUUGGUAGGGUAAUGGCCUACCAAGGCAAUGACGCUUAGGGGGAGUGAGAGCUUGGCCCCCACCGAUGGUACUGAGACACGGACCAUACACCUACGGGUGGCCGCAGUCGAGAAUCUUCCGCAAUGGACGAAAGUCUGACGGAGCGACACCGCGUGAUGGAUGAAGACCCUCUGGGUCGUAAACAUCUUUUAUAGAGGAGAAAGUUUAUUGAUAGUACUCUACGAAUAAGGGGUUGCUAAACUCGUGCCAGCAGCCGCGGUAAU